GACGAACGCUGGCGGCGUGCUUAACACAUGCAAGUCGAACGGAAAGGCCCUGCUUUUGUGGGGUGCUCGAGUGGCGAACGGGUGAGUAGCACGUGAGUAACCUGCCCUUGACUUUGGGAUAACUUCAGGAAACUGGGGCUAAUACCGGAUAGGAGCUCCUGCUGCAUGGUGGGGGUUGGAAAGUUUCGGCGGUUGGGGAUGGACUCGCGGCUUAUCAGCUUGUUGGUGGGGUAGUGGUUACCAAGGCUUUGACGGGUAGCCGGCCUGAGAGGGUGACCGGCCACAUUGGGACUGAGAUACGGCCCAGACUCCUACGGGAGGCAGCAGUGGGGAAUAUUGCACAAUGGGCGGAAGCCUGAUGCAGCAACGCCGCGUGCGGGAUGACGGCCUUCGGGUUGUAAACCGCUUUCGCCUGUGACGAAGCGUGAGUGACGGUAAUGGGUAAAGAAGCACCGGCUAACUACGUG
rnacentral:rRNA from 1 species